rnacentral:rRNA from 1 species
CACCUACCUACUAUCUAGCGAAACCACACCCAAGGGAACGGGCUUGGCAGAAUUAGCGGGGAAAGAAGACCUGUUGAGCUUGACUCUAGUCUGACUCUGUGAAGAGACAUGAGAGGUGUAGAAUAAGUGGGAGCCUCGCGGGCGACGGUGAAAUACCACUACUUUCAUCGUUUCUUUACUUACUCGGUUGGGCGGAAGGCGAGCCGCAAGGCUCACGCUUCUUAGCCGCAAGUGGACGGCCCUCGUGCCGACCACGAUCCGCUCCGAGGACAGUGUCAGGCGGGGAGUUUGACUGGGGCGGUACAUCUGUCAAAGGGUAACGCAGGUGUCCUAAGGCGGGCUCAGCGAGGACARAAACCUCGCGUAGAGCAAAAGGGCAAAAGCCUACUUGAUCUUGAUUUUCAGUACGAAUACAGACCGCGAAAGCGGGGCCUAUCGAUCCUUUUGACUUUAGGAGUCUUAAGCAAGAGUGUCAGAUAAGGACCAUCAGGGAUAAC